CGACCGGCGCACGGGUGAGUAACACGUAUCCAACCUGCCGUCUACUCUUGGACAGCCUUCUGAAAGAAAGAUUAAUACCCGAUAGCAUAAUGAUUCCGCAUGGUUUCAUUAUUAAAGGAUUCCGGUAAAGGAUGGGGAUGCGUUCCAUUAGGUUGUUGGUGAGGUAACGGCUCACCAAGCCUUCGAUGGAUAGGGGUUCUGAGAGGAAGGUCCCCCACAUUGGAACUGAGACACGGUCCAA
rnacentral:rRNA from 1 species